ensembl:lncRNA
AACAGAGCCCAGGAAGCCUGGGAGAGUCUGAGAGGUCUGAGCUGGCUGUGUGACCCCAGACCAGUUAAUUAACCCUUCUGAACAUCACUUUUCUUGACUCUGAAAGAGGAGUACUGGAGUGCCCACCAUGUGAGUCUGCUCUCUGAAUCAAAUAGAACCAUGCCUGAGUAGCGUUCAGCGUAGGACUCGGCACAUUGCUAAACAACUGGAUAUGCAUGGAAUGGCCAGCUAAGAAAGCAUGCGUUCUGGAUUGUGUAUGUGCCUCAAGCAUGUGGUCAGUCAGAUUCGCACCUGGGACUUUUGUUAGAGGUCUUAGGACAGGUGUGUGUUCACAUGUGUUUACUUUGGACUCGCCAGCCAUGAGGAUCGUUUAGGCCUGAAGCUAGAGAUGACCACUGUCCAGUCCAAUGGAAGGAGUCUACCUGAAGAUGACAACAACAUAGAGGAAAAGAGAGCCGAGAAAUGCAGAAUGGCGUGCGCCUGCUGACUACACCGGAUGCCUGGACCCAGCUGUGCCCGAAGUCAGAAGUCAAUCUGGAUGUGUCAGUGACGACAACAAUGAAUUCCUUUUUAUUCCUAAAGCAGAUUGACAGAUGCUGCUGUUGCUUGCGGCUGCAGUGGUCUUGCUAUUACACCCUCCUCCAUCUGAUCUGAACUCCAAAUGGAGAGGUAAAUGCUUAUCUUGGUUAGUAACCAAAUUCUGCAACAGAGGAAAUCCACAAGAAUUAAGUGCUAAGGACAGACUUUCAUUCUAAGAAAUUGGGCUGCUUCAGCCAUAGUUUGUUCAAGGGGAAACGGAAUGGUAUUCUGACUGCUACUGACAGUCAUUUUUGGCGUAAGUUGGGACCAGUCAGUGCUGUCAAACACUGAUAUCUGUGAUGACUACAAAGAAUUUCUUAAACAAUCAGUUUUCAUCCCAGAAAUACACACUCACCCUUUGAGUCACUGGUUGGCUAAUCAUUCUUUCUGCCACUUUGGGCUGGCUCUUCACCCAGAUUUUGAGUUUAUGACACACACACACUCCCAAAUAUCUAUCCCCAGUGGGCCUCUACGUAAUGCUCUGACAUGUGGGAUGUUGCCUUGUAAUCUCGAGGCCUGAGCAUAACCGGCACCCACUUCCCACAGCUGCCCACUGAGGGAGUGCUGGUUUCGUCACCAGGGGAACAGGCCUUGUUUUUCUUGUAAAGAUAAUGCUUCACGCCAAGUCAUCCACAGCGCACAACCAGGGACGAGGCUGAGAUGUCUAGAGAUGCAAAAGGGAAAUU